CCUACGGGUGGCAGCAGUGAGGAAUAUUGGUCAAUGGGCGUAAGCCUGAACCAGCCAAGUCGCGUGAGGGAUGAAGGUUCUAUGGAUCGUAAACCUCUUUUAUAAGGGAAUAAAGUGCGGGACGUGUCCCGUCUUGUAUGUACCUUAUGAAUAAGGAUCGGCCAACUCCGUGCCAGCAGCCGCGGUAAAACGGAGGGUCCGAGCGUUAUCCGGAUUUAUUGGGGUUAAGGGGUGCGUAGGCGGCCUUUUAAGGCAGCGGUGAAAGUCUGUGGCUCAACCAUAGAAUUGCCGUUGAGACUGGGAGGCUUGAGUAUGGUUGAGGCAGGCGGAAUGCGUGGUGUAGCGGUGAAAUGCUUAGAGAUCACGAAGAACACCGAUUGCGAAGGCAGCUUACUAGACUGCGACUGACAUUGAGGCUCGAAAGUGUGGGUAUCAAACAGGAUUAGAUACCCGAGUAGUC
rnacentral:rRNA from 1 species